rnacentral:piRNA from 1 species
GCACAGGUUCAAACCUUGGCAGCCGCAU